UGGGGAAUUUUGGACAAUGGGGGAAACCCGUGAUCCAGCCAUCCCGCGUGUGCGAUGAAGGCCUUCGGGUUGUAAAGCACUUUUGGCAGGAAAGAAACGUCGCGGGUUAAUACCCCGCGAAACUGACGGUACCUGCAGAAUAAGCACCGGCUAACUACGUGCCAGCAGCCGCGGUAAUACGUAGGGUGCAAGCGUUAAUCGGAAUUACUGGGCGUAAAGCGUGCGCAGGCGGUUCGGAAAGAAAGAUGUGAAAUCCCAGAGCUUAACUUUGGAACUGCAUUUUUAACUACCGGGCUAGAGUGUGUCAGAGGGAGGUGGAAUUCCGCGUGUAGCAGUGAAAUGCGUAGAUAUGCGGAGGAACACCGAUGGCGAAGGCAGCCUCCUGGGAUAACACUGACGCUCAUGCACGAAAGCGUGGGGAGCAAACAGGAUUAGAUACCCUGGUAGUCCACGCCCUAAACGAUGUCAACUAGCUGUUGGGGCCUUCGGGCCUUGGUAGCGCAGCUAACGCGUGAAGUUGACCGCCUGGGGAGUACGGUCGCAAGAUUAAAACUC
rnacentral:rRNA from 1 species